AUGGCAAAGACUUGAAAGGGUAUUUUUCCCAAUGAAGUAAACUCAACUUGUUAGGAAGACAUUUUAGAUAAUUUGAUUGAAAUCUUGAUUCAGUAAAAUUUGAGCAAUCCCUGUAAAAUUUUAGCAAUCUCAAGUUGGGCAUUCGUAAGAAGACUGAAUCAUUCAAAUAUAGCCUUCCAAUUUCAGACAUGUUCAAAAGUAGGCCUUCAACUGC
rnacentral:misc_RNA from 1 species